UACGUAGGGUGCAAGCGUUAAUCGGAAUUACUGGGCGUAAAGCGUGCGCAGGCGGUGAUGUAAGACCGAUGUGAAAUCCCCGGGCUUAACCUGGGAACUGCAUUGGUGACUGCAUUGCUGGAGUAUGGCAGAGGGGGGGUGGAAUUCCACGUGUAGCAGUGAAAUGCGUAGAGAUGUGGAGGAACACCGAUGGCGAAGGCAGGUCUCUGGGCUGACACUGACGCACAUGCACGAAAGCGUGGGGAGCAAACAGG
rnacentral:rRNA from 1 species